rnacentral:rRNA from 1 species
CCUACGGGAGGCAGCAGUGAGGAAUAUUGGUCAAUGGGCGUAAGCCUGAACCAGCCAAGUCGCGUGAGGGAUGAAGGUUCUAUGGAUCGCAAACCUCUUUUAUAAGGGAAUAAAGUGCGGGACGUGUCCCUUUUUGUAUGUACCUUAUGAAUAAGGAUCGGCUAACUCCGUGCCAGCAGCCGCGGUAAUACGGAGGAUCCGAGCGUUAUCCGGAUUUAUUUGGUUUAAAGGGUGCGUAGGCGGCCUGUUAAGUCAGCGGUGAAAGUUUGGGGCUCAACCAUAGAAUUGCCGUUGAAACUGGGAGGCUUGAGUAUGUUUGAGGCAGGCGGAAUGCGGGGUGUAGCGGUGAAAUGCUUAGAUAUCACGCAGAACCCCGAUUGCGAAGGCAGCCUGCCAAGCCAUGACUGACGCUGAUGCACGAAAGCGUGGGGAUCAAACAGGAUUAGAUACCCCUGUAGUC